UACGUAGGGGGCAAGCGUUGUCCGGAUUUAUUGGGCGUAAAGAGCGUGUAGGCGGCCAGGUAGGUCUGCUGUGAAAACUCCGAGGCUUAACCUCGAGAUGUCGGCGGAAACCAUCUGGCUAGAGUCCGGAAGAGGAGAAUGGAUUCCCGGUGUAGCGGUGAAAUGCGCAGAUAUCGGGAAGAACACCCGUGGCGAAGGCGGUUCUCUGGGACGGUACUGACGCUGAGGAGCGAAAGCGUGGGGAGCAAACAGG
rnacentral:rRNA from 1 species